UGGGGAAUAUUGGGCAAUGGGCGCAAGCCUGACCCAGCAACGCCGCGUGAAGGAAGAAGGCUUUCGGGUUGUAAACUUCUUUUCUGAGGGACGAUAAUGACGGUACCUCAGGAAUAAGCCACGGCUAACUACGUGCCAGCAGCCGCGGUAAUACGUAGGUGGCAAGCGUUAUCCGGAUUUACUGGGUGUAAGGGCGUGUAGGCGGGAUGGUAAGUCAGAUGUGAAAACUAUGGGCUCAACCCAUAGCCUGCAUUUGAAACUAUCGUUCUUGAGUGUUGGAGAGGCAGGCGGAAUUCCGUGUGUAGCGGUGAAAUGCGUAGAUAUACGGAGGAACACCAGUGGCGAAGGCGGCCUGCUGGACAAUAACUGACGCUGAGGCGCGAAAGCGUGGGGAGCAAACAGGGUUAGAUACC
rnacentral:rRNA from 1 species